GGAAAUUAAACAAUCUGCUCUUGAAUUGCUUUUGAGUAAAUACUGAAAUUAGGCAGUAAUCAAGAAAUGCUUUCAAAUUAAUAAGAACAAUGAUACAAUAUGCCAGAAUCUCUGGGACACAACUAAGGCAGUGUUAAGAGGGAAGUUCAUUGCAAACUUUUACCAAACCUUCUUUGCCAAAAUUGAGCUUCCUGUUUUGAUUCUUCAUCUAUGUCAGAACUUACUAAUUGUUAGCAGCUGGUUUAUUCUUCUCUCAAAUUAUGUCUCAUAAUUGCUCUAUGAGUCAAUAAGUGAUGCCAAUGAGGAUGUCAGUUAUUUCAAUAGAUCCUUAUACUCUUCAGAUGGUAUUUACAUAGAUGAAGCCAACUAAUGGGGGCUAUGUUAAGAAGGUGGUGAGAAAUCAAUGGUGGCAUAAAUUAAUAAAACUUCUUUGGUUUCAAGAGUAAGUAAGCUUCAUUUGCCACAAAAUUGACCAUUUGCAUAAUUACAUAUGCUAGAAUAAUACUUUAAUGAUUUUUCACGUGAAGGAGUUUUUAGCUUUUCAUCUGUUUUAACCAAGAGGAUACUUUAAUGAUUUUUCCCAUGAAGGAGUUUUUAGCUUUUCAUCUGUUUUAACCAUCAGGAUAAAAGUACCAAAUACUUUUUCAAAAACUCCCUCAAUUUUCUGCAGUCUCUUAGAAUGUUUCAGCCAUUUUUAUCUAUCUUUUAUUUUGAUGAAAAGGGUUCUACUGUUACAAAAAUAACCUUGCAUUUAUGCUUAAUUUUGUAUUUUCUGAGACUUUGAAUAUUUACUUAUCCUUGCUUCUUUUUUCUUCUCCAAACUCUCUUCAUUCCUUCCUCCUCUGUAUCUGCUAAUUAAAUACAUCACUGCAUCACCUCCAAAAACAAACAAAUGCCCCUCUCAUUAUGUUUUUUAAUCCUGAAAUGUAGUUUCUAUAUCUUCUUUCUUCUAUCAACAGAUAUAUCAAAAACCUAAGUUAUACAUGUUUAUUUCAAUAUUAGAAGUAAUAUUCAUCCAUGGGAUUCUGAAUUCUUCUUUUAUCACAGUUAUUCAAAUUGCUGCCUCAGAAGUAAUGGAGAAUAUCCUAAAUACAAAUUCAAAAGCCUAUUCUCAGUACUCAACAAAAUUUAAAACUGGAACAUCUUAUCCUGAUGAUCCGCCACUUUUUGAAAAUUUUUUCCUCCUUUUCUUUAGUGUCAGUGCACUGUUCUGCUUUUUGUUCUACCUCAAUC
rnacentral:lncRNA from 10 species